ensembl:lncRNA
UGCAGACACAGCUUUAGUUACUUAUUGAAAUUCACAAAAUCAUUUUGUUGUUUUUGAAAGAGUUUAAUGUCAAUACAAAGUCUCAGCAGUUGGAGCACUUACUGACAUAACUAAGACUAUUUUGGUGUCACUCAGCUCUUUAUUUUUUGACCUUUCAGCAAAUUUCUUUAUACGUGACUUUCAAUCUGUUUCUUGUUAAACACAGACCACCAGAUUCAAGUAAUGAACUGCUGACAGGGCACUAACCAUUAAAUCCUUUUUUUAAAGAGUGCAACAAUAAAGCUGAGCUUCCUUUGUUGCUGCCAGGUGCUCUCAGAGACAAACAGCCCGCAGAUGUAGCUGGUCUGAGCUCCGUGAGCUGUAAAAAGUAUUGCCAGCAGAAUAAAAUCAAACAAAAACAGUUUAUUGUCUUCAGCACAAGCUACAUGUAAUGUGGUUCAGCAUAAGUUACUAAGCUGACCUGCUGUAAAGAGACACUGAAAACUCUGUGUCCACAUAUCUGUCUCAGUCAGCGGCUUCUCUUUCUGUUAUUUAACCUGAGGAGGUUUAAAACAGAAGUUUUGUUUUCAGCACACCUGGCAGCAACAGAAGGAGCAGCACCUGACCCACAUAACAUGUAAAUUACUCUUUUUUUUUUUUCUUUUUUCUUUUUGCUAAUGCUUCGGGGUACUGUUCAUAUUUUAGAUCAGGAUCCAUUCUCAGAAAACCAAAAUGUUGUUCCAGUGAGUCUCAAGCUUUGUUCCAUUUAUUUGAGAGAAAAAAAUAAAAGCUUGUUGAUCAGUGUAAUCGGUCAAUCAGGAGGAGGAGAGAAGCAAUGGGCUGUAGUUUUUUUAGAAACCUCUCUGUGUGAUGAUUUUAAUCACGGCAUGAUGACAUUGCUAUGUCAGCCUUUCCUUUCUGGAACUUCUCAUUUCAGCCACACUCAUUUCUUUAACUCUGUACAGGAAACUUGUUUCAUGUCAGUACAAUCAGCUCUGCUGCUGCUCGGUGGUUUCCAUCCUCCUGUCCCAAAUGGCUUCUUUCAAAUUCUUCCUCUUUUUGUCUCUAAUCUCAGAGUUAACAGCUCUUCAGCAGGAUGUUCAGGUGAAGCUUGGAGAGGACGUCACUCUCCAGUGUCAGAUUUCCACAGAAGAAAUAAUCUCAGUGCUGAAGUGGAGCAGAGCUGACCUGAACACAGACGGCUACGUCUACUUCUACAGGAACAAACGCUCCUAUGAAAACUACCAACAUCCAUCUUUUCAUGGCCGAGUGAAGCUGAAGGACCCGGAGAUGAAGGAUGGAGACGUUUCUCUGAUCCUGAAGAAGGUCACGUUUAAUGACACUGGGAUGUAUGAGUGUCACGUAGCAGUGAGGAACCCUGGGAGAAGUAAAAGAGUUCACACUGAGAUCAGUCACUUCAUCAACCUCACAGUCACAGGUGAAACACAUGAAAGCGUGUCAGAGAAACGAGUCUUGGAAAGAGGAGACGCAGAUGAAAAUAUGGAUGAUACUGAAAGGGUCGGCGCUCCAUCUCUUCAGAGUGACCUCGUCGUUUCCUGGAUUCGUGGACCCACGCUGCAAAGUCUGUCGCGACAGCCUGUUUCUAGUGAAACAGUAAAGACCAACUACGUGAAUUCGCCGUUGGCCAGCGUUUUUAGCAAGAGGUCCACGAUCCCAGGGAGCGAGGAGGAUUCUCUCUGACCGGCAUUUUCAUCCGAACCAGGUGAAUAUAAACACUCAAGAACACAUUGCGGCUAAAAUCGGUUUUUAGGUUGACACGGUUCUUAAGAGACUCGUCCUUUAAGGACUGGAAGUCGGGAAAAGACUCGUCCUUUAAGGUCUGGAAGUCGGGUAUUAAGACUCGCCUGUAACACGGAACUGGCAGUCCCCUGGGAGACUCGUUCCGCAAUUAAAAGGCUGGAAGUCAGGGAUCUCACUCUAAGAGUGAAUGGUAAAUAAAGAACGUGUCAAUUAAAAUAGGAUUAUAGUACCGCGUGUGAAGUUUAUGUGUUGUUGAGGAGUGAGUGACCUUUUGAAUAGAAACAAUAGGUUUCUGCACCACUCUUACUGUUUUCUGUGUUGACCGAUGUACUGGUGAGAAGGGGUCAAAGGUUGCGCUUCAACGCAUAAAAAUUAAGGCCGCCUGGGUCUAGACCAGGGUAGAAGGCUGCCUUAAUAACCUCCCCGACUCUAAUAUCAGUGAAGGUCACACAGAGUGUAUGUUGGCAGUAUUAAUAAAUAAAAGCAAAACAAGGUGUUUCCAAAUACAAUAAAUCGAAAUAAAUUAUAAGCAAUUUACAAUGGAUAACAACCUGUAAACUGGUAUUAACAAUGAAAUAUAGUUGGCAGGACGACCGUGCCUAGAAUGGAUAGAAUGCAUGAAACCAGAUAACUCACACAAACACAUAUUAAAUGAAAUAGAGAGAUGCAUAAGGUAUAUUAAGGUUGUGUCAUUGUUCAGCCAAGGAAAGUGUGUGAAAAGGAAAAUGUCUCCAGCUUGGGAAAGGGUGAGACUGCAGCUCACCCUCAGCCCUUGGUGGACACAAAUAAAAUAUAAAUAAGAUAUAAAAUAAUAAACUAUUGUAUAUUUGUAAUAUACUAUUGAUGUUAUAUAGAAAUAAGAGAAAAUAAUUAAGAGAUAAGAAUAUUAAUAAUAAAUUAAUAAUGACAUGAUGUUAAUAAGAAGAAGCAUGUUAUUCAGUUAUGAUGUGAGGUGGAUGAUUGAUAAAAGUAGUCUGAUUCAAGCUUAAGGUUUGCUCAAACUCAGUACAAUGAUAUAGGAGAUGAAGGAAAUAAAGAAAAUAUGUAAACUAAUUAAGUGCAUAGAGACACUUGACCCGCUUGUAAACCUGUCAUCCUAGAUGAGAUUUUGUUAAGAUGAAGAGCAAACCUAUACUACCAAGCUAAUGAGCAAGUUACACACUCUUUAUUUUGUAUUAAUUUUUUUUUGUUUUUCAGAACAGAAGCUGCAUGAUAUUAAAAGCUCACACAUGCAGCAGUCUGUGAGCUCAGUUUUUUCCUCACACUUCUGCUUUGUUUUUGACAGCAGUUCUUUUUCUUUUUGUGUCCCAACUCGUGUGUAAAGCGUUCAUGCCAUCAGCAACUUGUUUUUGUUUUUGUUUGUUUGUUUUGUUGGUUUGAAAAACAAAUUUGUGAUCAUACUUGUGGAUCACAGUGACACGAAAUGAUUAGGCACAUGAUUUACUGAUGCCUAGUUUUAGAGCUGUGAGCUACAGCUGUAAGCAAUGCAAAGUUUUUCCCAAUUUAGAAGUUUGACAUAUGUAACAUGUAUGAGAUAUAUGAAUUAUUUUAAAACGAAAUAGAAAUUGUCCAAAAUGCCUUAAGAAAAUAUGUAGUGCUGUAUCUACAGAGAAAAAAGGAAGAAGAAGCAUUCAGUAACUUGGAAAUAGCCUUUCUACUUGCAUGUAGAUGGAAGUGCAGGUUACGUGAAAGCUGUUUUAACACAGGCAUUUGGAGAAAAACAACGUCUGCUUGCAUUUUACUUCUGUAAAUUAGACUCUGUUGCGUCAGGCCUGCCCACAUGUGUGCCAGCCGGUGUAGCUGCAGCAGAGGCAGUAAAAAGUCAGCUGACAUUGUUUUAGGACACACUUUAAUCAUCAAAGUGCCCCAUGCAGUGAUUUCAAUUUUAAAUCUAAGCCAAUUUGUCUUACCUGACACAUGUGAGACAACUCUCAAAUGUUGGACACUUAUUGUCGCUAUAUGGAAAGUUCAACAAAGAGUUUGGUUAGUCUGGAGAAACAAGAAAUAUGUGUGCCUGUGGUAUGUGUAACAGGAACUACAUGCCCAUAAAAGGAGCUGACUGUGUCAAGGACGCAGACAGACAGAGAGACACACAGACAGUCAGUAUGUUUUUUCAGCAGAUCAAGCCGCAAAAGCAGCAUUAGUGACACACGGUUCCACUCAUGUGUCAACCGGAGGGAGAUGGUAGAUAUAAUCUCUAAACAUUUCUUUACUCAAAAUUUCAAAAAUUCAGCAAAAGAAUUUGUCAGAACAUGCAUGAUUUGCCAAAAACAUAAUGCACAGGGAAACCUCAGACCAAGAAGAGGUAACUUUCCCACACCACCUCAUCCUUUUCAUACCAUUCACAUGGAUUUUAUUGAGCCAAAUGAAGCCAAGGUUCAAAAAUACGCUCUAGUGAUUAUAGACGUGUUCUCAAAAUGGCCAGAAAUUUAUCCUGUGAAAAAGGCAGAUGCAAUUUCUGUAGCAAAAUGCCUAUGCAGCCAUUUUGUUCCAACAUAUGGCAUCCCCACUCUGAUAAGAUCAGACAAUGGGACACAUUUUGUUAAUGAAGUAAUCAGCAAGGUCUCUGAAGCACUAGGAUUCAGUAUCAAACACCACUGUGCUUACCACCCUCAAAGUGCCGGACUAGUGGAAAGAACUAACGGCACGAUAAAACAGAGAAGAAACAGGGAGACUAUGGGCUGAAUGUAAAGGUCUAGUGAAAAUGUGGAUGAGAUUAACACAAAACUCACAGAAACUAACACCAUUUGAAAUAUGGAAGACAUGGAAGACUUUUUCCCACUACUAAUACUGAGUGAACCAGUAAAACAAAUCAGCUAGAGAGACUACUCUAGCAGAGUGGAUGGAAAGGUUGCUAGAAAAUACAGAAACUGUGUUGAACAACAAACUGCUGUGUGACUCUUCUCCAGUAUCUUGCAGGUUAAAGGCAGGUGAUUGGAUCCUGAUAAGGGUGCUCCAGAGGAAAAAAAAUGGGAGCUCACCCCGUUGGGAAGGACCCUACCAAGUACUCCUGACCACACCAACAGCCUGCAAAAUAGCAGAAAGACCAUCCUGGAUCCAUCAAAGCCACUGUAAAGGAGUAAGCGAGAGCAUAGACUAACCGGACACUGACUUCCUUACCCUCGGGUGAUUCGUCAGGUGAAGGAAGUGCCGAUUGGGUAUAUCCCGCACUUUUUCUUCUUGCCUAAGUCCCCUGAGACGUGAGGUAAGCCAGGUAAACAUGAAGUCGCUCUUAAUCUCACUAACUCUGACAGUCCUAGUGGCAGGAUGUCUCAUCCCACUGAAGAUGGAUCCGAGGGAACGAACAAAGAAAGCUUGGACACAUGACAACUCACACCUGGACAAGAUGACGCAGGACCACAAUCAUCCCUGGAUGAACAACGCGUGGUACAGAUAUGUAUACAACCGCACGACAGAAAAGAACUACUUUGUUUGCUCACACAUGCCUGCAACUUCUGUCCAUGCAAUUAUUUAUGGGAAGGUUCCGUCACUUGAAACGAGCAUGUGCAUUCACAUGAAAGUCGUAAAUGGAACUUGUUCACAUAGAGACAUGUUUAUAGUGAGAGCCCCAGCGUUUUCACUGUUGACCUACGACGUGAAUAACCUAACAGCUACAAACUGGACGUGUGACGAAGCACACUGGGUGAACGUGUCAAACAAAAGAAUAAUGACAUUUCCAGCUUUCUUGCAGAGUGAAGAACGUCACCCGAUAUGUUUCGACUUCUCAUACGGAAGGACAAAACUUGGUCAAACCAAGAACUGCAGUAUAGUCUGGAAGGACAAUGCCGAUGCAGCUAUGACUUUUAAGCGUGGCACAUACUGGGUCCAGGGGACAGCUUGGGUGUGUGGACAACGUGCCUACUUCAUACUGCCACCCGGAUGGACGGGCACCUGUGCCCUAAUCUUCAUUUCAGAUCACACCUUCAGGAUGUCAGCUGUAAAUAGCUCUCAGACUACAAGACGACGACGAGACGUCUCCGCAGUGCAACCAUAUGACCCCAUCUAUGGCAGUGAUGUGCCAGAGGAAUUUAAGCUUUGGACUGUUCCUGAAUGCCUCGUGCAAAAUCAACAAUCAACAAAAUGAAGAGAUUGAUGCCCUGCGCAUAACUGUGAUGCAACACCGAGUCGCACUGGACAUGAUUCUGGCUGAAAAAGGAGGACUCUGUAUACUCUUUAACAACACAUGCUGCACAUACAUUCCAGAUAAUGUACACUCAUCCAACAUGACUGAUGCAGCACAAGUAAUUUAUUGUAUGAGGGAAAAUUCUAUUUCUAAUAUAGUAAAUUGGGAGAUGCUUUCUGCUUGACUGAUGCUCUGAGCAUACUUAGACAACUCAGGGAUGCACAACAACAAGACUACGUCACAAAUACAGAAGACUGGCUCACGUGGUUGUUAAGCAGCUCUUGGAAAUCCCUGCUGUUUAAAGGACUUGUUUUAGUUGGUGUUCUACUAUUGUUAUUGUGUUUUUCCACUUCAUGCGUCAUACCUUGUUUGAAGAACAUGGUGUCAAAAAUGGUAACUGCUUCAAUUAAUGCUUACAUCACCCUACCACAGAAUGAAGAAGAUGAUAAUGAGAUAGACAUUUGGAUAUAACAUAUUCACAAAACCCACUAAUUAAUGAUGUCCUGGCUAAAAAUGUUUUACAAGUGGCCAUAGACUGAUACAGUGUUAGUGAGUUGCUAUGUAUAUAUAUAUAUAGGAGAAAAGUUAAAAUGUGUAAAACAAAUUAACAACAGGAGGGAUAUGUUAAGAGAUUUUCAAAUGUUUUAAGUAUUACUCCCACUUCCAUUUGUACGUUAUUGAAAGUUUAUCUUUAAUUUCAGUGUUAAUAGUUGUUUACCCAUUUAUUCUUUCCAUUUAAUCGUAUUUUAUGAUUUUACUGUUUCACUAGAAGUGAAGCUGAAGUAAAGACAAAAGCAUAGUGUUCUCAGAUAUGAUUUACCCAGUACAUUUCCUCUGCACCUGGCUCUCUACGAGCCGUUUCACUCCCAGGAAGGGGAGAGCAGGACGUUCUUAUCUACACUCCCAAAUACCAAGAGGGGCCUGUUCUUCAGAAUCACACACACAGACAGACACACACACACACACACAGAAAGCUGCAUAUAUGUGAUAUUUAGUGAUUAUCUACAGAACACACACACCCAGCUAAACUGGAACGAACCUGUUUCUCAGAGGCAAAUCUUUGUCUCCUCCUUAAACAGUUGAAGCCACUAUGUGACUAUAAAUAAAAUCUCUGCCUGCGCUUGGGGUGGGAUCUCCUCGAGAUCUCACCCAGCGUGCGCACGUUGUUACCAUCCAAACUGUUUUGAGUGUCUUUAUUUCGCCUGAAGAAUGUCUUGUUCAAAUAUUUACUCUUUACAUUAAUGUAGCAGAUUUUUGGAGUCUGUUUCUGAAUGUUUGCACAGAUUUGACUGACCUCAGGUCAGCAUGCAGCUUGUUCACAAGAAUGGGACCACGGUCACUGAAUGCACCUUCAGCACAUUUACAUCUAAUACUGGGAACAGUUAAAAAAUCCGAAGCCCUGACUGUAAAUCCAUUUAUAAACACACUGCAGGCCAUGAUUUCUAGUCUACUUCUCCUUUGUGGAUUGAGUCAGGAAGAAUUAACUUCUUUGUUUUCUUUUAUUUACUUUUAUUAAUGUGAAAUCAUUUAGGGAAAAAAAAGUUAUGCAGCAAUAGUUCAAUCAACAUCCAUAAUUAAGCACCAACCUUUAGUUUAAAAGGUUGCAGAGAUUUGAUUCAUUGUUUUCACACACAGAGUCGACACCUUUAUUCUUAUAUCAUCUUUGGGAUGUUCUGGAGAAGACUGCAGCUGUUUGAUUCUCCAGUUAUCAAUACUUUACAUAUAAUUACUGAAAUUUAUGCCUCAUCAAAUGUUUCCCUUCAUCAAAGUCAAAGGCAGUGUAUUGAAAGGUUGAAGGAAAGUGUGCAUGUCCAGAUUAUCCAGUUGCAUUAAUUUAUGCAAUUAUGCAUUAUGCAGCUGUUCCUGAUGUGCUGAUGGCAGCGUUACUACACAGAAGUUUAAAUCAGGAAGUUCAAAGCAUUUCUGCAUCAACAGGAACUGUCUGAAUGAUUAAACAUGUAAAUGUUUUGCAAAUAUGCAGCUCCUCUGUGAACUGUAAACAUUAAUGCACAUCAAUGAAAAAUACUGUUGAAAUUUAAAGUAUUUUUUUAAUAUCUUUGACUUUUAAAUGAAUCGAUUCAGGUUUAGUUAUCAGAGAGUUUGUGUUCUUUCUUUUACACUAAAGGAAUCCGGGUGAUUUUUAAUGAUAAUUUAUUUACUUGUAUCAAAGGUACCAUUGAAACAUUGUGUACAUGAUAGAUGUCCAACAUGUUGACAAUGAAAUGAAAGCAGCUGCUUUUAUGUCAUUAUUUUUUGGGUCCAGGCCAUUUAUGCACAGUUAACCAAAAUGAGCUCAACACCCCCAUCUUCAAUCACUUUGUGCUUAAAAAUCUUUUAAAUGUUUAAUAUUUAAAAGGGAUUGUUAAACCUCACUGUGAACAUGAUGUGAAAUAAACAAACCCUCUGUGGAGCCUAAACUGAGUAGAAAAAAAGUAUGUGUAUUUGUACACACUUUAAAAUGGUACUUAAAGUAAUUUUUCUUCCUCUGGUGGUCAUGAAUGAAACAAUCAGUGUUUUUUUGAACAGCUGUUAAUGUAAUGUUCCAGUUUGACCUCCGGGUGGCAGUGUUGUCUCACGUUGGCUAAGCAUACAGAAGAAUAUACUGUAAGAACAUGUGUUUAAACAUUAAAAAGUGAUUUUUUAAAAAACGAUUUUUUCCCUUCUUCCCCAGAUUCAACAAAAGGCACACCACUCAGAAUUCUUCUAAACAUUUGGAUAUUAAUAUUUGUCCCCCACACCACAAAGAAGACAUAUAAUCUUAAUUACAGAUCAGUGCAGAAGAAUUUAUCCACUGCAAUAUUUCAGUUUGACCUCAUAUGGCAGUGUGUUUUUUACGACCCAGACUAUAAAUAACAUCCAGCCAUCCAUUCGCUUCCAAUUAUCCUUUUCAGGGUCGCGGGGGGUGCUGAAGCCUAUCCCAGCUGUCAUGCAGUUUGUGGGGAUAGCUUAACUGAUUGGUCUAAAUUGCCCAUAGGUGUGAAUGCGGGAGUGAAUGUGAGUGCGAAUGGUUGUCUGUCUCUGUUAGCCCUGCGACAGACUGGGCAUUAACAGGGAAAGGGGGGCACAAAUAAAUACUUUUCUUUCUUAAUCUCAUUUAAAAUAUCUAGCUUUAAUAAAUAAUUAUCUGAAUCUUCAAACCAAAGUUUUUAUCUGACGUAAAAUGUAUAGAAAUCAUACAUAUACCAACAAGACAGUUGUCAUCACUGUCACAGCAGCGUUUGUUUUCAUUCAAAGGCUUUAUGGCUUUUCCUGUAAUACCUGGUGGGCUGGUCUGUAGUCAAAAUGCCUGGGCCGAUUUUUUGUCCCAGUCCAGCCCUGGUUGCAGUUCUAAUUCAGCCAUCCCACACCACACAGCACUGAGACACUUCUCUUUGACAAAAAACAAACAAAAUAAAACUAUCCUGUUGGCUCUCUUUCAUUUUAAAACCUCAUAUAUGGCAGAAUGGUCCAAAAGUUUAAUGUGAACAUUCUGCAAGAAGUACUGAGUUUCAGGCAUGGUACUUUGACACAGUACAUUUAUGUGUUUAGAAAUAAAAGCUGCACAUAAAUAACAAAGCGCUGCUUCUUUUUCUCCAGUUGUUUAAACUAUUUGUAGAGACAGAGAGAAUCAGUCUGAUCACUGGAACCAGUAACAAAUGUACUGAGCAACAUACUGACAUCACUGCUGAGCCAAGUUGACCAGGAUACAAACACGAUUAACACUAUAAUGAAUAGUUUAACACCGGUUUAACAUUUGCCUUGUAAAUCAGGUUAACAAUGAAAUACAUGUUGGUGGCUGUUUGAUUCAGAGGUCUCUUUUAUCUUUAGUUUUU